AUUGAACGCUGGCGGCAUGCCUUACACAUGCAAGUCGAACGGCAGCAUGGAGAGCUUGCUCUCUGAUGGCGAGUGGCGAACGGGUGAGUAAUGCAUCGGAACGUACCGUGUAAUGGGGGAUAACGUAGCGAAAGUUACGCUAAUACCGCAUACGACCUGAGGGUGAAAGCAGGGGAUCGCAAGACCUUGCGUUAUACGAGCGGCCGAUGUCAGAUUAGCUAGUUGGUGAGGUAAAGGCUCACCAAGGCGACGAUCUGUAGCGGGUCUAAGAGGAUGAUCCGCCACACUGGGACUGAGACACGGCCCAGAGUCCUACGGGUGGCAGCAGUGGGGAAUUUUGGACAAUGGGGGCAACCCUGAUCCAGCCAUGCCGCGUGAGUGAAGAAGGCCUUCGGGUUGUAAAGCUCUUUCGGCCGGGAAGAAAUCGCACAGGCUAAUACUCUGUGUGGAUGACGGUACCGGCAUAAGAAGCACCGGCUAACUACGUGCCAGCCGCCGCAGUAA
rnacentral:rRNA from 1 species